ACCUUUUCUCGUUUUCCCCUUUCUUCGCAUGACAAGUCUCCUUCGGUUUCAACAUUGCUAUUCUCCAUAGUUCCUUCACUUUCUUGUAUAAUAUUAUUCUGUUCCAUAAUUUUUAAUCCUAAAAUAAUCCACCAGCAGCACGUUCUCGCUAAGUGUUCAAUUAGCUGUGUAUCCGUUUGACAGCAACUUAGAUUCUUGUACAGAUUUUCACCGCUAUCAUUCGCGUUUGCGACUGUCUCGACCGAACAUCAAAACUAAAAUGCUCACGCUUCGAAACUCAGACGUCUUUUAGUCUAAAACAAC